UCUGACUAUAAGUGGCAGGACCAGCCAAACUAUGAAAAAACUUAUAGUCCGGAAAAAACGGUAGUCUAGUUGCUCAAAAGAGUAUUGCAGGUCAUAACUGCUUACUUAUUUUUAGGUUUUGCAUUUGAAUAAAUAUUUAGUUUCAAAUUAUAAAUUUUAAAAAGAUACUAGUAUAAGCACACAAGUGAAUAUUAAUGCAAUAAAAACACUGAAUUUAACCCAAGAAAAGUACAGUAGGCCUAUUCAUGUGAAUUGAUAAUGAAUCAAGAGAUCGAAAUUGAUUAAUGGUCAUCAGCAUCGUAAUCGUAUCAAAUUCUUUCUAUUUUUUCCCUCUUGUAGUAACACUAUUGUGACAAAACAUAUAUUUAAUGUAGUCUCUCAUUCACCACUAUAGAAGUUUACCCAACUAUGACAACUUCCGCUUGAAAAUAUGAAAGGGUUGUGUAACUACAUUCAAGAUAAAUUAGUUAAAUGAAAUAAAAUGCCUACAUGUGCACUGUUCAAAGUUUAUCACCAUUAAUAAUAACCUUAAUAAGUAGCAUGAUUAUCAUAUAGUGCUUUCUUAAAUAUAUUCGCAGUAACGACAACAAAUAUAAUAUUACAACUUACAUCUUACAUUAUUUUCAGAUAUGGACAAGGGAAAGAAGAGAAGAGCCAUCACUGACUUUUUUGAAGGCAUACAGCCUAAGAGGAGCCUCAUGGGUAAAACGCUUAACCAGGACACUCAAACAGCACAGCACUUACAUUUAUCACCCAGGCUACAAGAAAAACUAACAGACCUGCCCCAAUCCAGGACAAACCCCAAUACAGACAGACCAGCC